GACGAACGCUGGCGGCGUGCUUAACACAUGCAAGUCGAACGGAAAGGCCCUGCUUGCAGGGUACUCGAGUGGCGAACGGGUGAGUAACACGUGGGUGAUCUGCCCUGCACUUCGGGAUAAGCUUGGGAAACUGGGUCUAAUACCGGAUAGGACCGCACUUUAGUGUGUGUGGUGGAAAGUUUUUUCGGUGUAGGAUGAGCUCGCGGCCUAUCAGCUUGUUGGUGGGGUAAUGGCCUACCAAGGCGGCGACGGGUAGCCGGCCUGAGAGGGUGUACGGCCACAUUGGGACUGAGAUACGGCCCAGACUCCUACGGGAGGCAGCAGUGGGGAAUAUUGCACAAUGGGCGCAAGCCUGGUGCAGCGACGCCGCGUGGGGGAUGAAGGCCUUCGGGUUGUAAACUCCUUUCGCUAGGGACGAAGCUUUUUGUGACGGUACCUAGAUAAGAAGCACCGGCUAACUACGUG
rnacentral:rRNA from 1 species